rnacentral:lncRNA from 1 species
UUUUUUUUUUUUUUUUUUUUUUGGUUUUUCGAGACAGGGUUUCUCUGUAUAGUCUUGGCUGUCCUGGAACUCACUUUGUAGACCAGGCUGGCCUCGAACUCAGAAAUCCGCCUGUCCCUGCCUCCCAAAUGCUGGGAUUAAAGGCGUGCGCCACCACCGCCCAGCCAUAAAAUAAAUCUUAACAAAAAUCUUUUAACACGUUUUCCUUUGACUGCCAGUCUUAUGCAGGGACCUGCCACCUGCCCUUGCAGCUGUCCCAUAAUAGCCAGUCAUUCUGCAGACUCCUUUUGAUGUGUCUGGUUAGGAUAGGACCUCUGUGCUCUGGUCAUAGGCUUUGACACAGACAGAUAACCAGGUGACAGGUCACAGACAGGUGACAGGUCACAGGCUGGCCCAGGUGCUAGUGUUUAAGAAACAGUGACUCCAGAGCAUUUGUGUGAGAAGGGUGGAGCGCAGGGGAAGCUGGGAAGGGAGGCUCCCUGAGAGUGAUAUCUGGGGUGACUCCACCCAGCUAGCAGAGAGCAAAAGGUGGGGCCAUAGCACCAGUGACAUCUCUGCUCAGGACUGUGACCCUCAGACCUGCCAGAUCUCAAUCUCCUUCCCCAGGGCUCCCACAAUGCUAAGCAGUUAGGGGUUGUUGGGGGCGGUUCUGAUUUUUGAUUUUUUGGCCAAGUCCAAAGCCCUGGGUUUUUUCAGGUAUAAAUUGCACUAAUAGUACCUUCCCUGCCGAACAUUUAUUUAUUUGAAUUUUUCAAUAUAGAGGUUUCUCUGUGUAAUAGUCCUGGCUGUUCUAGAAGUCACUCUGUAAACCAGGCUGGCCUUGAACUCACAGAGAUCCACCUGCCUCUGCCUACCAAGUGCUGGGAUUAAAACAGUAUGCCACCAUGCCCAUCUUUUAAAAAAUAAAAUAAAAUCUUUUAUUGCAUUUACUUAUUUCUUGUGUGCGGGCACGCCCGUGUGUGCAUGAGGGGAUCAAAUCACAAUAUGUAGAUGCAGUUCUCUCCUUCCACCACGUAGGCUCCCAGGGAGGGAACUCAAGUCUCUCGGCCUUAGCAGCAAGCACCUUUUCCUACUGAGCCAUCUUGCCAGCCCAAGUGCCCAGGGGAGUCUGAGGUUCAAAGUGACAAGCAGGACUGAAGGCCUUGGAGUCAAGGACUGUCAAGGUUUCCUCAUCUUCAGUGAUUGCCACCCCCCCCCCAUCACCCCGUCUGCCUGGGGCCUUUAGAGUAGUUGUAGAUGUUUUCCUUUGGACAGAAUGUUCUUUUACAAACUACAGUUUUCCUUUGCAAUGUAACAAAGUAACACUGUGGACUCCUGCACUGCGCACUAAGCUUUCCGUGGGCGGGCAGCAGGCCGAUGUCAUUUCCUACUCCUCCUCACCCCUCCUCCCUCCUGAGCACUUGCCUCCCACGUUGGUCUCAUUGGCCUGUUUAUUAUUGUUGGUUCUUAGAGCGGGGAGGGAGCUUCAGCAGGCACUGGCAACUCUUGGGUUCAUCACAGGCGGUCAACGAAUGCUGAUUGAAUGGAUUCUGGACGAAGACUCUGGAGCCCAGAGAGGCUAGGAGCGCUGACAGGUGUCACACAGCACACAGGUAGAGAAGAUGCGGAAUUGCAUCUACUCCGUGUCUUUUCGCCUCCGACUUAGGGUCCCACGUGGCACCCGGUUCAGCAGCCUGGAUGGCUUUGGAUGGACUUAACUACACCCAGGAAGAGCUCCUAGAAUUCUCUAGAUGUAGCCACAGGGCCUCGAGGUGAGGAAUCACCUUGGCAGAUGGCUGGAGGCUGAUCUUCAUUCAUAGCUUCUCAUUGCCAUCGUGGGAAUAGAAAAGCAGCUUCCCUCUAGUAAACAUGCAAGCAGCUUACACAAAGCCCUAAACUGUAGCAUU